CGGCAAGCACGUACUUUCUCUUCUGCUCCUCUUCAUCGUCCGUUAGGAUGGCGACUUUAUCAUCUGCAGCCAUGGCUUACCACUCCCAUCAGGGGCUGAGACCUUCGGAAUCCUGACUGGUGACCUGGAGGUUGAAAAACAUGAUUAAGGAGUCAAAAGGUUGGGCCGACAUCAACUUUGUCCCCUCCAGUUGCAGUGAACAUAGUGUGAUGCUAGAAGAGACCAGGCUGGAACUCUGGAUUAAAGGCACACACCAUCAUAUGCAGUGCUAUCACAUGCAGCUAGAAUCAGGAUGUACUGGGACCUCUGUGAGCCAAAUGAGAUGCACUGGCUGCUUUAAUAACCUCAUAUUGGACUCCAGGAAUAUCACCAACUAUAUGACUUCUUUUGACCAAACCAAUCACUAGAACUUUGUUGUUUUCUCGAGGAAACCUAAGUGACCACCGCUAAGCACCAAGCUCUGGUUUUCUUGCUGUUCUUGAUCAGCUGGACCCUGACACACUCACUUCCUGAUAGCAGAAUUUAACUUUUUCCUGCUUUUUCCAUCACAGUUCCCUUCGCAGGAGAAACACCUCCAAAAUAGUUGGCCUUCAAGGGCUGUGCCCAUGAGCUUUCUGGUAUUACCAAGACAUGCCUGGUCCCACCAGUGACUAUGGCACUUCCCGGCAUUAUGAAGACCAUACACUUGCCAAUCCUGCCGGCUUCACAAGCCUGGGCAAAAGAGCUCCUUUGUGGUGCUGGGAAUAGAAUCUGGGGCCUUGUGCAUGCUUGGCAAGCACUCUUCCACUGGGCUACAUUCCCAGCCCUAAACCUUAUUCAUCUUAGCAGCAAAAGAAAAAGCUUUGUUUUUUCCCAGACAAAGACCUCUUACUGCCUGGUUAUGAUAGAUUUUCUUUGAUGCACUGUUUUUAUUAUUCUUUGGUUAUUAAAAUCUUCUCCUGUUCAACUCAGCAGCUUCAAUUACACUUUUGCACUUGAAAAGACAAGUAACGCUUUUUUCCUGAAUUGUUUUGCUUUCUCGGCUCCAAUUGGAAAGGAAUAUGUGUUGUGCUUAAAAUGGAUAAAGUUACAUGACCCUGGUGGUGGAACAGGCCAGAUUAAACAUAGGUAGUUGGUUCCUUCCCUAACCCUCCUUCAAACGACAGCAAACACACACGGAGAAAUAUGCACAGGUAGACUCAGCUGUCACAAUCUAAGGAAGAGUUGAAAGGCACGUGAUGGUAAUGAUAAAGUGAACUGACACAUGUAAUAUUUCAAAAAAAUUCAUCUCACAUCAUCCCCUUCUUGGGCUGUGGUCUGCCACCCCAAGGAGAUUAAUCAAGAGAGAGCAGGUCAUGGGAUACAGGAAAGAAUUGAUCUCAUAUGCGAGGCAAGCAAAGAGAACACAGGGAUGAAGGUGAUAAGACGCCCCUGGACCGCUGGUCAGUCAGGAUGGAUGGGAGGUUCCGUGGGCAACCUUGUCAGCCAAAAGGAUAGUCGUCAAACACCAA